AAUCAACGCUGGCGGCGCGCUUAACACAUGCAAGUCGCACGAGAAAGUGGAGCAAUUCAUGAGUACAGUGGCGCACGGGUGAGUAACACGUGGAUCAUCUACCUCGUAGUGGGGAAUAACCCUGGGAAACCGGGGCUAAUACCGCAUAAUCCCGAGAGGGCAAAGCAGCAAUGCGCUGUGAGAAGAGUCCGCGGCCGAUUAGCUUGUUGGCGGGGUAAAAGCCCACCAAGGCAACGAUCGGUAGCCGGCCUGAGAGGGCACACGGCCACACUGGCACUGAAAUACGGGCCAGACUCCUACGGGAGGCAGCAGUGGGGAAUCUUGCACAAUGGGGGAAACCCUGAUGCAGCGACGCCGCGUGAGUGAUGAAGCCCUUCGGGGUGUAAAGCUCUUUCGACGGGGACGAUAAUGACGGUACCCGGAGAAGAAGCUGCGGCUAACUACGUG
rnacentral:rRNA from 1 species